rnacentral:rRNA from 1 species
AUGAACGUUGGCGGCGUGGAUUAGGCAUGCAAGUCGAAUGCGAAAGGGGGUAACUCCAAGUAGCAUGGCGAAAGGGGCAGUAACACAUAGGUAACCUGCCCUCAGGACCGGGAUAUACGGUGGAAACGCCGGGCAAUACUGGACGUCGUCGCGGGUCGGCAUCGAUCUGCGAUGAAAGGUUUACUGCCUGAGGAGGGGCUUAUGUCCUAUCAGCUAGUUGGUGAGGUAACGGCUCACCAAGGCGACGACGGGUAGGGGGUGUGAGAGCAUGGCCCCCGUCACUGGAACUGAGAUACUGUCCAGACUCCUACGGGAGGCUGCAGUCGAGAAUCUUCGGCAAUGGGCGAAAGCCUGACCGAGCGACGCCGCGUGGAGGAUGAAGGCCUUCGGGUUGUAAACUCCUGUUGGGGGGGAACAAUAUCGAGUGAACCCCUGAGGAAGCACGGGCUAAGUUCGU